GUUCAUGAGGACCUUUAGGCAUUACACCAUCCUUAAGGAUUGUAUAGCCUCUUUAAUAUAUUGAUCGUACAUGCUUUUCACGUGUUCUUUUAUAAAAACUUGACGACUCUUAUGUUUUUGCCAAAAUGCCUUCGUGGUUUGAUAGUUUGUUACAUCACAAAUGCUACAUAGAAGCUUUGCUAAGAUUAGUGACUCUAUACAAAAAAAAGAAUAAAUUAUAAGCAAAAUAUUAUAUUGGUGGGAGGAAUGAGGAAACAAAUGAGGGGAGAAGAAAAAAAAGGACAACAUGGUCUGCCGAACCGGUACCAGUAGGCGUACCGGCCGCCUACCGGACGGGUUCGUACCGGUGGAACCGGUCUGCAUAGUAUUGCGCGCUGCACGUGCUGCCCACAGUGCGUGGGCAUGCUACCCAGCGCCGCUGCAAACACGUACCAGUGCGAACCGAUCUAGUUCGCAUCGGUACGCCCUCCGUCCCGCUCAGUUCUGACCCGCGGUAUCAUACCAAUCAGGGACCGGACUAUUCUGGUAUGUACUGAA
rnacentral:lncRNA from 1 species